rnacentral:misc_RNA from 1 species
AAACAACAAUAGAAUAUUUAACAUUAAAAAUUGAAAAAGGAAGAAUAAGAUGAAUAAAGAGCAUCACACAUUUUGGAAAAAAAAACACAAGAUCCAGGAUAUCAAACAUUUGUUUCCUGUAUCAGACUGCACCAAAAAAAGUUCUACGAAUAGAAGACCAAAAGGGUUAGAAAAACUAUUUGCAGGUGAAUCAUAGAGCUUGCUUCACUGGAUGGGAUUAUAUUAUACAUGGAAAAUCAAAAUUAUUACAAAUUUCCCGAACGAAUCUUGGGAAGGUGCAUCUUCUUCUCUUCUGCAAUGCCUCCAAACCGGAGCCUCCAUCUGUUAUAUGUUGGAGCUAAGAGAGGUAGUUGACAUCGAUACUGAGUUUGGUUCAUCUCGUCCAAUUUUACCAAGAAAUGACCUUAGUUUUUGCUGGAGUUGCAUUUUUGGUCGUAGUAGUGCUCCCAAAUCCAAACUUAGGCUUCUUCUCUGCAGGCUUUAAUAUCUGAAAAGAACACAUCAGAGUCUCAUCCACACUCAUCAUAGCACCAGCAUUAUCAA